rnacentral:rRNA from 1 species
UACAGAGGGUGCAAGCGUUAAUCGGAAUUACUGGGCGUAAAGCGUGCGUAGACGGUUAUGUAAGUCGGAUGUGAAAGCCCCGGGCUCAACCUGGGAAUGGCAUUCGAGACUGCAUAGCUAGGAUGCGGAAGAGGGAAGUGGAAUUUCCGGUGUAGCGGUGAAAUGCGUAGAGAUCGGGAGGAACAUCAGUGGCGAAGGCGGCCAUCUGGGACAACACUGACGCUGAGGCACGAAAGCGUGGGGAGCAAACAGG